rnacentral:tRNA from 1 species
AACAGGAUGGCUGAGUAAAGCAGUAGAUUGUAAAUCUUCUAACGAGUAGUAAAAACUCUUCUGUUA